rnacentral:tRNA from 1 species
GGGGAUGUAGGCUUAGUGGUAAAGCACUUGCCUAGCAUACAUGAAAUUCUGGGUUCAAUCCCCAGCACCACCA